rnacentral:rRNA from 1 species
GUGGGGAAUAUUGGACAAUGGGCGAAAGCCUGAUCCAGCCAUGCCGCGUGAGUGAUGAAGGCCUUAGGGUUGUAAAGCUCUUUCAGUAGGGAAGAUAAUGACGGUACCUACAGAAGAAACCCCGGCUAACUUCGUGCCAGCAGCCGCGGUAAUACGAAGGGGGCUAGCGUUGUUCGGAUUUACUGGGCGUAAAGCGCACGUAGGCGGAUUGGUCAGUUAGAGGUGAAAUCCUGGAGCUCAACUCCAGAACUGCCUUUAAUACUGCCAGUCUAGAGUCCAGAAGAGGUGAGUGGAACUCCUAGUGUAGAGGUGGAAUUCGUAGAUAGUAGGAAGAACACCAGUGGCGAAGGCGGCUCACUGGUCUGGUACUGACGCUGAGGUGCGAAAGCGUGGGGAGCAAACAGGAUUAGAAACCCUGGUAGUCC